GUGGAAACCUGAACCAAGAUAAAACCCAAAAUCUGGCACAUCAGAUUAUUCUGUCUUCUGGCUUCGGUGACUAAUUUUGGAGACCCAGGCCUUUUCCUGGAAUGAUUAAGUAAGAGGUGCUUUCUUUCUGUUGGGAGUCCUUAGUAUACGAAAUGUAAGCUGGUACUUUUCCUUAUCUUUUCUACUAUACAAGAAGAGCCUUUUGUGAGAACAAAGCUAACACUUAAGAAAAUCAUUUCAAGGAAUAGAGAAGAUUUUCUUGAUGGAUUCAGCCGUACUUGAAACUCUGAUUUACCUCCAGGCUUUUCAAUUACCCAGCUUAUUGAUACCUCCUAUCACAGGAAGAGCCUUCCUUGCUGCCCUACCUGACCUACAUAAAGCAAUGGAAAUAAUUGAUUAGGAACAAAAAGACCUUAAACCCAUCUGUAUUCAGCAAAAACUUCUACUGAAGAUAGUAACCUAUGAGCAACCUCAACACACAAGAAUGAGAAGUUACUUCUGUUUUGAUGUUUUUUUCCUAAAUGAUCUAAGCAAACAGGGCUAUGGCAGAGAGCACAUCUCACUAAGGCCAACUUGGUAGCAGGCCACCUUGAUGCUAUCAAUUUUGCAAUCCCAGCUGGUGUUUCUGUACAGUUUUAAGAGAAGGCCCUGUGCAUGGCCCUUAUGAACUCCCC
rnacentral:lncRNA from 1 species